CCUGUCUGUGGUGUGCAAUUUGAGAUGUCUGGGUGCUACAAAACUGGCUGAAAGCAGAAGUGAUUCUUUCUGAAUAAACAAUGUAGUUUGCUCAUAUGUAUCACAGAAACACGAUGUUAUUACUUGUGUUUCCACAGUGAUUUGUUGGUUUUCCAGUGCAAGAGUGAUCCCUCCUUCAUUUUUACCAAAAAGAGAUUUCCUCCAUUUCUGCACUUUUUGCCCUCUGGAAUUUCAUUUGCAAGGACAGAUAAGGGGAAAAGAAUGUAAUAAGAGAUGAGGAAAAAAAUAAGCCCUUGCUGAAUGAUUGAUAUGAAUGAAGGAACUGAUGGAAUAAAUAACAAAAAUAAGAAGAUCCAGGACUACUCUCAGUCUCUGAAGCAGGUGGGAGCCCUGGCGGUAGCUAUGGAUCCAGUUCAAAGGAAUAUGAAAGGCACUGCUUUCCCAUCAAAAAGGAAGAAGAAAGGCAAUACUUGCAACCAAUGAUAAAGAGGUAUUCUGACUUUCAUCUGCCUUUGUGUUAAGCGUGAGAGAGCCAGACAGAAUUGCAGCAGGAACCAGAAGGAGCAAAGAAAAAGAUUACUGUUUCUUUUAUAAAAUGGUUUUUAUCCUACUGGUGUCUCUUUAAAAAUAAAAAUCAACAAAUAAAUGUCCAUUUAAAUUGAUCUUCUGUUGGACUAUGUUAUUGGUCUGACAUAUAAAUUAGUGCUUCUAAGAUUUAACUAUGUAACUGAGAACCAAUAAUAUUUUAUGGAGAGUGUCAAAUGGCUUGCCUUUACAGCAAUUCUUUUCACUGUAUCUAUUUUAUUUAAUAUGGAUGAUGGAAACCACUUUAAUCAAAAAGAUAAUAAUACUUAUUUGGAGGUAUGAUAAAGCAAAUGUCUUUGGCCACAUGCUGUUAUUGGAAUUUAAGGGCUAUUAUCUUUUGUAGGACAAUUUUUAAAAUACAGUUUAUUCUACUCAGUGCCCUAAGUCUGUUUCUUACUAGCCAUGACCUUGAGAAGCUGACUUUACCUCUCUAAGCCAUUCUCCUCCUCUGUGAAAUGGGAAUGUUAAUACCCACUCUUGUUACUCUCAGAGUGCAAUGAGGAUCAAUGAGAAGAUAAAAAUAAAUGUGUUUGGUUAACUAUGAAAUACCACGUGAAUGUUAUUAUUAUGAAUUAUUUAUAGACCAUACACUUGAUGGAGGCAAAAAGUAGACCUUUGUUGUUCCCAUGAAACCAUAGUAACUUCCACAGUGCCUGACAAGAAGUAAGAAAGCAAUAAAAGUUUGUUGAAUUUAAUAUGCCCUGAGAAGUAUAAUUAUAAAAAUGAUUGCAUGUAAAAAUAUCAAUAAAAUACAUACUAAACCACCAAACAGA
rnacentral:lncRNA from 1 species